AGAAAGAAAAGGGAAGAAAGAAGAAAAAGAAAGAAAGAGAAAGAAAGAAAGGAAAAGAAAUGUCCUUUCUCUUCAGACUCUCCCAGGCCGCGGAGUGUAAACAGCAAUAUGGCUGCAGGAUGGCUGCUGCAGCUCCAGACAUGAGCAUUUCCACCACAGGAGGGUGGUCUGUUUCUUUUUAUCAGCGAAGGAAACUUCUCCCUGAAGCCCCCUGGUGUAUCAUUGGUAGAAACCGUGUCACAUGUUCAUACUGAGUCCACUUGUUGGCAAGAGCAGUGGCAGCAUGGUGACUGGCUUGGACCAAUCAUGAUUCACCCCUGAGGCUGGGGCUGAGCAAACCACUAAGCAGUACAGAACUCUGCGGGAAGGAAGGAAGAGGUUGAAGGAUGUGUCACAUGGUUUCUCUCUAAAAAUCCCGGGUCCUUCUCCCUGAUUCUGGGUCCAGGUUUCUCUCUCUCUCUCUUCGCUAGUCCUGGUCCUUGAAAGAAGAUCAACUUUGAGAGUUCAACACCCUCCCUUGGCUCCCCCAUCCUCUCUUCCAGCUCUUGCCCACAGCCAGGCAGAAAAAACAUCCUGAAGAAACACGGGAUUUGCCCUCGGACAUUGCUAGCCACUCUUGCUAACUUCCUUCCCCGACUUUCUUCUGGUUUAAGCCAGUUCACGGGGCUGCCAGGAGGACUGAGACCACGUGUGUGCUGAGCACGUGCUGUCACCUGCUCAUCUCCCUUUUCCCUGCUUCCAAUGGCAGGAUUCAUGGUGUCCUUAGGGACCCACCCUUUCAUACUCUUUAGCCAUGUGGUGUAAGACACACUGACUCUCGGGAUCCCCAGCUCCUGUGGGGUCUCCUCCCCUGCAUUC